GAAGAAAUAGUUUAUACUUAAGAAUGCUGUUUUUGUAAAACAGUGAUAUUCGGAGACGGAUUUUUUUCA
rnacentral:tRNA from 1 species